rnacentral:rRNA from 1 species
UACGGGGGGAGCAAGCGUUGUUCGGAUUUACUGGGCGUAAAGAGCUCGUAGGCGGUGUGUCACGUCGAUCGUGAAAACUUACAGCUUAACUGUGGGCGUGCGGGCGAUACGGGCAGACUGGAGUACUGCAGGGGAGACUGGAAUUCCUGGUGUAGCGGUGGAAUGCGCAGAUAUCAGGAGGAACACCGGUGGCGAAGGCGGGUCUCUGGGCAGUAACUGACGCUGAGGAGCGAAAGCGUGGGGAGCGAACAGG